GGCGGAGUAGCUUAGCUGGUAGAGCAGGGGAAUCAUAAUCCCAAGGUCCACGGUUCGAGUCCGUGCUCCGCCACCA
rnacentral:tRNA from 1 species